rnacentral:rRNA from 1 species
AUAUUAGAAAUGGACGAAAGUCUGAUCUAGCAACACCGCGUGUGCGAAGAAGGCCUUCGGGUCGUAAAGCACUUUUUGGAAGGAAUAGGAAGGAAUGUACUUCCAGAAUAAGUCUCGGCUAACUACGUGCCAGCAGCCGCGGUAACACGUAGGAGGCAAACGUUAUCCGGAUUUACUGGGCGUAAAGCGCGUGUAGGUGGUACUGUAAGUAGGGCGUGAAAGCUCCUGGCUCAACUGGGAGAGGCCGUUCUAAACUACAGAACUAGAGGAUGGUAGAGGGAGGUGGAAUUCCAGGUGUAGCGGUGGAAUGCGCAGAUAUCUGGAGGAACACCGGUGGCGAAGGCGGCCUCCUGGACCAUUCCUGACACUCAGACGCGAAAGCUAGGGUAGCAAACGG